rnacentral:rRNA from 1 species
CCUACGGGUGGCUGCAGUGGGGAAUAUUGCACAAUGGGCGCAAGCCUGAUGCAGCCAUGCCGCGUGUGUGAAGAAGGCCUUCGGGUUGUAAAGCACUUUCAGCGGGGAGGAAGGCGUUAAGGUUAAUAACCUUGGCGAUUGACGUUACCCGCAGAAGAAGCACCGGCUAACUCCGUGCCAGCAGCCGCGGUAAUACGGAGGGUGCAAGCGUUAAUCGGAAUUACUGGGCGCAAAGCGCACGCAGGCGGUCUGUCAAGUCGGAUGUGAAAUCCCCGGGCUCAACCUGGGAACUGCAUUCGAAACUGGCAGGCUAGAGUCGUGUAGAGGGGGGUAGAAUUCCAGGUGUAGCGGUGAAAUGCGUAGAGAUCUGGAGGAAUACCGGUGGCGAAGGCGGCCCCCUGGACAAAGACUGACGCUCAGGUGCGAAAGCGUGGGGAGCAAACAGGAUUAGAUACCCGUGUAGUC